rnacentral:lncRNA from 1 species
ACCAAGUCCUGGCAGGGUUCAUCACGUGCUGACUCAAGAGCCUCUGGGCUCUGAAUAAGCAGUAGUGGUAGCCAGGCAGUACUCACUAUGGGCCUUGGGUGAGAUUCAGAAAUGUGCUGGCUUCAGGUCUGACCCAGUGAAGUCCCAGGGAUGGUGGCCACAAUGGUGCUUGUGUCACCCCCUCCCCCAGCUCCAGGCAGCUCAGCACAGAGACAGAGACUCCAUUUGUUUGGGAGAAUGUAAUGGAAGAGAACAAGAGUCUCUGCCUGGUAAUCCAGGGAAUUCUCCUGGAUCUUACCGAAGAGCACCAAGGCAGUACCUCUACAAAUCUGCAAGAGCCACAGCAUUAUGGGCUUGAAAUGUCCCUAAUGCAGAUACAGCUGCAGUGACCAAGAUCACAACACCCAAGUCCCUUCAAAUAGUUAGAAAGCCUUCCCAAGGAUGACAGGUACAAACAAGCCCAGACUGCAAAGACUAUAACAAAUACCUAACUCUUCAAUGUCCAGACACCAACAAAUAUUCACAAGCAUCAAGACCAUCCAAGAAAACAUGACCUCACUAAACAAACUGAAAUAAAGCACCAGUGACCAAUCCUGGAGAGACAGAGAUAACUGACCUUUCAGAGAAUUCAAAAUAGCAGUUUUGAGGAAACUCAAAGAAAUUCAAGAUAACACAGAGAAGGAAUUCAGAAUCCUUUCAGAUAAAGUGAACAAAGAGACUGA